UUUGGUGGCUGAUAUCACUUGUAAACCUGGGAAUUACCGCCUACCCAAAGGCGUGAGACCAAUACAAAUGGGAAGACACAGAAAGUCUGUUUCAUGUUUUCUAAUUCAGUGCCACUCCUUAGUGUCAUAUGUGAAAAUAACAUCACUUCAGCAUCAGCUGUAACUGUUGAAAAUGAGGAAAGAUAGAGCCAAAUUAUAAAUGAAUGUACCUCCAAUUAUACGUGCAGGUAGGGAACAGCUUAUCACCCUUAUCCCAUGCCCCGGUGGCUUAUCCAUUAAUGUAUUUUUAUUCAACAAGCAUUCAGUAAACAUUUACCAGAUUCCAGGCUUUUUGUAAAUUGCUGAGGCCCAAAUCUCCUCAGCCAGCUUUCCUCCAACCUCAGCCCUGGCAUAUUAGGGUAUUUGCUCAUUUUGUGGGAUUUUCACUCCUGGAUCAGCUCAAAAUCUGAAGAGAAGAGGUACGGGGAGUGAAUAGUCCUGAGCAGCAUUUGGUCAAAGUCUCUCCAGGACCUGAACCAUUUGAGUAGCUUGAAAAGGACGUCGGAAAGCUGCAUGAGGACCUGAGGGGUGUUGGGAAAUAGAGUUUGCGUUGGUGGGAGCCCCAACACAAUGAAAGAGUUUGCACUCCUUAUGCGCAAGGAGCUCGACUUGGAGGAGAGUGGAGAGGACAGAAAGAACGUCUGAGCUGGGACAGACAGAUCAUGCAGGGACAGAACUUGUCUCAUGCCCUCCAUCAGUCUACGUACUCAAUAGUUGCCCUUGAGGUACUCAUCAUAAGCUAGCAGAAAAAAAGCAUGGCAUUGGCAUUCCCUCCAUUUUUAUUAUGCGUAUGCUUCACGAACUCAUCAAAUUACUGCACCAUGCCCGGUGCUGUGAUGUUACUGUUAUCAGAACUGGUACAUCAGGGAGAAUAGGCCAGGGUCUACUAGAUGGAGCACUAUGGUCCUUUUCCAGAGAAGAAAAAUUUCACUGCUUGAAGAGAGCACAUAAAGCUGGCAUCAGGAAUACUGAAACGGAAUCUGCAGUGUCCUUGGCUACACGUAGAAAUUGUGAUCUAAAAGAGCAUGAGCAGGGGAGGGUCAGGGACAGAGAAGGACAGAGGAUCCAAAGCGGG